UGCUGAUAGUGUGGUAGCCUCU
rnacentral:piRNA from 1 species